UACGUAGGUGGCGAGCGUUGUCUGGAUUUACUGGGCGUAAAGGGAGCGUAGGCGGAUUUUUAAGUGAGAUGUGAAAUACUCGGGCUCAACUUGAGUGCUGCAUUUCAAACUGGAAGUCUAGAGUGCAGGAGAGGAGAAUGGAAUUCCUAGUGUAGCGGUGAAAUGCGUAGAGAUUAGGAAGAACACCAGUGGCGAAGGCGAUUCUCUGGACUGUAACUGACGCUGAGGCUCGAAAGCGUGGGGAGCAAACAGG
rnacentral:rRNA from 1 species